AAGCCUCUUGCUCAUUAAGCAAAGGCCCUCCAAGUCUCCUUUUUACUUCAGCACUUUGGAAACUCUCCAAGACUUAACUUCCGAUCUGGGGAGGUUCUACGUGGAGCAGACCUAUCCCUUCUUAUUCCUGUUCCUGGGUGUCUCCAUAAUCAGCCUCUACCUUCCCUGGCAUAAGUCAUAUCUGUUAUGCUGCAGGAACUGAGUAACCAAAGCUAGAUAUCCCUUGGACCACUGAUUAGUGACACAUUUUCUCCACAACAAAGGGAGGUUAAAGACAAAGGUUUAACCUGAGAAACUUUUUUUUUGGCAAGAUAAUAAAGAGGUUAAAGAGGCUACGUGGAUCUGUCACUGCUUUAGCUUACCAUUUUCAAUUCAGCACCAAAGUGCUCAGAAAGACAGGCUCAGAUCAGGACGACUUCUUAAAGGGAUUCACAGGCAAUAUUACUGGCAAAAUGAUUUUCCAAAGCUGAGCCACGCGCCCCACCCUACAGGGAGGGGAGUAGAAUCUUAUGGCCCAGCAUUGGCAUUGAGGCAUCUUGCUUUUUUUCCUCAGAAUUCCACAAAGGCUUAAGAGUGAUCUAAAUGCCUGGCUGGAAGCUCAAGUCUAGGAGAGCUAUUUUACUGCACUGUUGAGAUGUUCUCUGCAAGGUGAUAUCCCAAGUGACACAGAAACACAGCUCCUCCGGAUGGUGAAGUCUCCGCUGCAAAACUCACGAAACAGCACAGAGGAUGACUCUAGGGUGCUCUCCCACUUGCUCCAAGUUAGGCAGGUGCCCUGAUGGAGGCAAGGCUGAGCCAUUAACAUGCACAGCUCCAUAUCCUGGAAGCCUCUGUAGCCUUGAGGAGAUAGGCUCUAUCCAACAGGACUCAGAAUAAAUGACUGCCACCUCAACUGAGCAGUAUGAACUGCCCACCUCAACUGGGCAGUCUGACCUCUUCCACAGUCUUUAAGAAACAGAAGAGCCAUUUGCAUUAUUUAAUCACCAUUCAAUAAUCUCCUCCCUCCCCAUAGCUGCUUGAGUUAACUGUCCCACAAGUGUCCUGUGUUUUGUAAAGAUGAGGGUUAUUUUCUGAAAUGCAGAUGGGACUAGGAUGAAGCUGUAUUAUCAAUUACAGAGACAGCCAACUCUCAUUUCUCUUAAAGCAAAAAUUCAUUCCACUGUGAUUUCUCCAGGUAUUUCCUGCAAUUCUAAAUCCGCCCUUGAUAUUAGAGAAUAUUAAAAUCACACA
rnacentral:lncRNA from 1 species